rnacentral:rRNA from 1 species
CUCAAGCUGCAGCCGUAUGCGCAAUCAUCGGUCGUCAAUCGCCCCUGCCGGAAGCUCUCCUACAGGUUCUACGGGCCGUUCACGGUGACUGAACGGAUCGGCACUCUGGCGUACCGCCUUCAACUACCAGAGGACAGCCGCAUCCAUCCGGUAUUCCAUGUUUCCCAGCUGAAGCCUUACAUCCCCGAUUACACUCCUAUCUUCUCGGAGCUGCCGCAAGUACCGGACCUGGUCAUCGGCGACGCAGAACCAGUGGCCAUCAUGGAGCGCCGUAUGAUGAAGAAGGGCGACGCGCCAGUAAUCCAACUGCAAGUUCGGUGGUCCAACCGACCCCCGACUGCCACAACCUGGGAAGACUACGACAUCCUCAAAGAGCGCUAUCCAUCGGCCUGCAUCUGGGAGGGAGCUCCUUCUCAAGACGGGGGCAAUGUCACGCCUGCAGAUGACGAUCUGCAGUGGACUGCAAGUGCAGUUCAGUUAACGGCUGUUAACUGA